UCGGAUUGUAGUCUGNAACCCGACUACAUGAAGCUGGAAUCGCUAGUAAUCGCGAAUCAGAAUGUCGCGGUGAAUACGUUCCCGGGUCUUGUACACACCGCCCGUCACACCAUGGGAGUCGGAAAUGCCCGAAGUCAGUGACCCAACCGUAAGGAGGGAGCUGCCGAAGGUGGAGCCGGUAACUGGGGUGAAGUCGUAACAAGGUACC
rnacentral:rRNA from 1 species